UACGUAGGGGGCUAGCGUUGUUCGGAAUCACUGGGCGGAAAGCGCACGUCGGCUGAUUGGUCAGUUGGGGGUGAAAUCCCGGGGCUCAACCUCGGAACUGACUUCAAUACUGCCAGUCUUGAGUCCGAGAGAGGUGAGUGGAAUUCCUAGUGUAGAGGUGAAAUUCGUAGAUAAUAGGAAGAACACCAGUGGCGAAGGCGGCUCACUGGCUCGGUACUGACGCUGAGGUGCGAAAGCGUGGGGAGCAAGCAGG
rnacentral:rRNA from 1 species